AAACGGAUCGAUCUCGCCCAUUGCUAAAAUUGGUUGUAAACAAACCAAACUAUAGAAAGUUUUUGUGUUACUCAGUACUGCAAAACAUAUAUUCAUGUUGGAAGACACAACCUGUAGAAAAAUCACACAGUGCACGUAAAAAACAAGCCAGCGAAAGAAAAAAAUAUAUUGAUAGCAGAAUAUUGAACUAAAAAUGGCUGCGGCUGAGGACUUGUGGCGUGAAUGUGCUGCAUGGCUCACUCGAUGUUCAGUUAUUCCAGCCGAUCAUAAGGCAAAUCAGCCAGAUUCUGACAUUAAGACGUUAGCCGUAAUACUACGCGAUGGUGUUUUACUGUGCAAUUUGCUUAAUUUUCUGGAUCCUAGUCUUUUUGAUACAAAAGAUUUCAACAGGAAACCUCAAAUGGCACAUUUUUUAUGCAUCCAAAACAUUAAGCUGUUUUUGGAUAUCUGUAAAACAAAUUUUGGCCUGAAAGAUGCGGAUUUAUUUGAGCCAACCAUGCUCUAUGAUCUAACAAAUUUUCAUAGGGUUUUACUGACUUUAUCAAAAUUGUCACAAAGUCGGAAGGCUCAUACUGCACAUAACAUAGACGGAUUUAAUUCACAAGUGUUGCAAACUGAUAUAAGUAGCUCUGAUGAGGACAUAUAUAAAACCUUGCAUGUAACGAUAAAUCAUGAGUCGUCAGCCAUUGAUGUUGGCAACGAGAUAGAUGCCACAGCAACUAGUAUUUUAUUUAAGAAGCAAUUUAGCUUGGAAAACAAGACAUGCGAUGUAUUUUUAGAAAACAUCGAUACUUUACACGAUGAAAAUGAAAAAAUAUACGAGGACCUAUGUUACGUGACGUUAUCAAGAACCGUACCUCAGGUUGCAUCUGCCACCUUCGAACAGCGGGACUUUGUGAUUAAAGAGUUGAUUGACACUGAAUCGAAUUACUUAGACGCACUAAUGGCUUUAAAAUAUAAAUUUAUGCAGCCGUUAGAAAGAAUACUACCGAAGGAAGUGAUUCGAUGCAUAUUCCCAUGCAUUAAAGAAUUAGUCGAUAUCCAUGAAAAAUUUCUCACCAAUUUGCGAGAAUGUUUACAACCAAACUCAAAAAUCAAAUUGAGCACCGUUUUUCUAGAGUUCCGCGAGCCUUUCCUCCUAUAUGGUGACUAUUGUUCAAGUAUGACCAGCGCAACUGAUACACUCCGAGAUAUUUGUAAAAAGUCUGAUAACGUGGAACAAAUCGUGAAUCAAUGCCAAAAAGAACAUAGUGGAGGAAGGUUACAGCUGCGUGACAUUUUAUCUGUUCCAAUGCAGAGGAUUCUGAAAUAUCACCUCUUGUUAGAUAAAUUAGUGCAGGAAACUAGCCCGUCUCAUGAUGACUUUCGUGGCCUCGAACGUGCCAAAGAAGCCAUGGUCGAUGUGGCACAAUACUCCAAUGAAGUUAAACGUGACUCGGAGCAUCUAGUAGUGAUACAGAAAGUUAAGGAAAGUAUCUUAGAUUUGAAUCUGCCAAAUGGAAAUAAUCUCGAACAAUAUGGUAGAUUAUUAUUGGAUGGAGAUUUGAAUAUUAAGGCACAUGAAGAUCAAAAAACAAAGCAUCGUUAUGCCUUUGUUUUUGAAAAAGUAGUGAUCUUGGUAAAAAAUUCAAACGCAAAAAUUGGGGAAGGACAGUACGUGUUCCGUGAAGCGCAUAAUUUACAAGAUUAUCGAGUUGAAAUUUGUCAUUCUCGAAAAACAUUAGGAAGAGAUGGGCGACUGAAAUACUCUCUCCUACUUGCCAGAAAAUCGCAAUCGACAGCUUUUACUUUAUAUAUGAAAACAGAAGAAGAACGAGACAAAUGGAAGCGAGCUUUGGAUAUCGCCAUGGAUGUAAUAGACCCUAUCGGAUGCCGAAAUACGGAUCACAAAUUUAUCGUGUGUACAUUUGAUGCACCAAUUAUAUGUAGACAUUGCUCUAAAUUUCUUAAAGGAAAAAUUCAUCAGGGAUACCGUUGUCGGAAUUGCGAAAUCGUUGUACAUAAAGGAUGCAUUUCUUCCACUGGUAGAUGUAAACACAAUCAAUCAGCUCCAUUGGUUUGUGACAGACUAUUAUCAGAAUUCAAUUGGUUUGUUGGGGCAAUGGAUCGAGAUACCGCAACAAAUAAGCUAGAGAAGAAAAAGAAUGGUACAUAUUUGCUAAGAGUCCGUCCACAAGGUGCAUCGAGUUGUCAUGAAACCAUUUAUGCGCUGAGUUUAAAGACGGAUAGCAAAAUAAUAAAACAUAUGAAACUAUACCAUAAGCAGGACAACGUAACUCCUUUAUAUUAUCUUUCUACGCGGCGCCAUUUUAAAACCAUCGUUGAACUAAUUUCCUUUUAUGAACGUAACGACUUAGGAGAAAAUUUUGCCGGGUUAAAUCAGUCUCUUCAAUGGCCUUUCAAAGAAGUUACAGCGACUGCACUAUUUGAUUUUUCUCCUUAUGAACCUAACCAAUUACCGCUAAUACAAGGGUGUCAUGUCAUCAUUAUUGGUAAAGAAGGGGAUAAUAAAGGAUGGUGGCGCGGAAAAGCAAUGGAUAAGAAGCAGUACCGUCAGCUCCAUCAUUACAGUCAAUCGCGUCAGUGGAUCAGCUGCAGGGUUCGUACAAUGUGGAAAAAUUUAAUAGCAUCGUGCAAACACUGGAAGUUUUCCCAAUUUCGACCAGAAGCAUGAGAAGUACCGAUUAUCGUGUAAAAAAAUCUACGGAGAUCACGCAGGCAGUGCGACGAGACAUAUUCGGCAUAGAUUCAACGGACAUGGCUAAGCAGAAAGCAUAUGAUGAAAUGAUUAUGUAAUUAUUGGAGAAAUUUAAAGCUCCUACUACAAGCAGGAAUGACCAGGUUGGAUUUUUUCCCAAGGAGUAUGUGAGAGAAAACCCUAUAAUUGUAGAUGAUCAAUGACACUACGUCAAAAAUAUGUUACCUGGAGAGUGGCCUCGUUUUUAUCGGAAAACAAAGUAUUAAAUGUUGUUUUUGUUAAUUAAUAUGGCAUGCAGAUUUGUAUUGAACUAGGACAUGAAAUAAACCAAAAUGCUUUAGUGUUACUA